rnacentral:rRNA from 1 species
UCCGUAGGCGGGCUAAUAAGUCAGGGGUGAAAUCCCACAGCUUAACUGUGGAACUGCCUUUGAUACUGCUAGUCUUGAGUUAUAUGGAAGUAGAUAGAAUGUGUAGUGUAGCGGUGAAAUGCAUAGAUAUUACACAGAAUACCGAUUGCGAAGGCAGUCUACUACGUAUAUACUGACGCUAAUGGACGAAAGCGUGGGGAGCGAACAGGAUUAGAUACCCUGGUAGUCC